rnacentral:tRNA from 1 species
CAGUAAAUAGUUUAAUAAAAAUAUUAAUUUUGGGGAUUAGGGUUGAGACUUUCUCUUUACUGA